UACGGGGGGGGUAAGCGUUGUUCGGAAUUACUGGGCGUAAAGGGCUUGUAGGUGGCCAACUAAGUCAGACGUGAAAUCCCUCGGCUUAACCGGGGAACUGCGUCUGAUACUGGAUGGCUUGAGUGUGGGAGAGGGAUGCGGAAUUCCAGGUGUAGCGGUGAAAUGCGUAGAUAUCUGGAGGAACACCGGUGGCGAAGGCGGCAUCCUGGACCAUUACUGACGCUGAGACGCGAAAGCGUGGGGAGCGAACAGG
rnacentral:rRNA from 1 species